CCUUAGUAACGGCGAGUGAAGCGGCAAAAGCUCAAAUUUGAAAUCUAGCGUCUUCGGCGUUCGAGUUGUAAUUUGAAGAUUGUAACCUUGAGUAUUCCUUUAUCUAUGUUCCUUGGAACAGGACGUCAUAGAGGGUGAGAAUCCCGUUUGAUUUUGGACCAUGCUCUCUGUGGGUUGCUUUCGACGAGUCGAGUUGUUUGGGAAUGCAGCUCUAAGUGGGUGGUAAAUUCCAUCUAAAGCUAAAUAUUGGCGAGAGACCGAUAGCGAACAAGUACAGUGAUGGAAAGAUGAAAAGAACUCUGAAGAGAGAGUGAAAAAGUACGUGAAAUUGCUGAAAGGGAAGGGCUUGAGGUCAGACUUGGUGUUUUGCGAUUAUCUUCCCUUCGUGGGUUGUGCACUCGCUUUUCACUGGGCCAAUAUCAGUUUUCGCGGCAGAGCACCCUUGGAAAUGUAGCUUCCCCUCGGGGGAGUAUUAUAGGCCUUGGACGAUCUGCUGUGGGGAUUGAGGACUGCGCAUUAUGCUAGGAUAU
rnacentral:rRNA from 2 species